UACUUUGGAGGAAAAAGAAGAGGAGGAGACGAACAAAAUGUUGUCUAUAAAUGGCAUUGUUAAAGGCCAACUUUUGAACGGGCUCUGCACUGCUCACUAUGUGGAUGAUGAGUUGAAGUAACAAUACUCAUUCAAGGAUGAGUUGUCGUCUUUUAUCCCAUUUAUUUCGCUGCCUUCAAAUGCAUUGUCAUUUGCUUUUAAGCGUCGCUUCGAUCCUUCAGACAAGUUGAGGUUCUAUGGUGGCUACGUUCAGCUGCCCUUUGGAUGUCAUCAAGACCAGGUUACAGGUCUACGGCAUGCUUACCGGUCAAAGAGAGGAUGGUGGCAAACUCUCAAUUGGUGAAAAUAUGAUAGAUGCUGCUGGGACUGCCACAGCCAUUUCAACAAAUCCAUUGUGGGUUGUUAAGACAAGACUGCAAAUCUACCUUCCAAAUACAUACGAGACAGUGCAUUUGAACCGCAAUGUUGGGCUGCUCCAGGGAUACAUAUGAUACCUGCUUCUACCUAGGAUUUCCACUUUUGUAAUAUGCAAGUAUAAUUGUAGGUUAUUUCAGGUGUCUUGGACAUUCUAAUCUUCAGAUUCCUCCAUUUGUUUAGAUAGAUCUUUUUCAGAUCAUUCUAGCUCAAGCAUUGAGUAUAGGUUAUCUAAAUUCAUGCUUAUUUAAAUAGUUUGGCAUAGUGGGUGAUGACAGAUGGUUGUUUCUUUCCUAAAAGUCAUUCGUUGUUUCUUUCCAUUUUGUGAAUGUACAGAUGGUUUCAACAAUGAAGAAGUCGAUCUUUGAUGAACAAACUAACAAGGCCUUAAGGAAAUUGCAAAAGAAUGCUCAAAAGAAGAGAAGGCAUCAUGAUGUGGUUCGAGCUGAAUGGGCAAAUCAUGUUAUACAGUUCUAACUUUGGUUCUGUUUCAGGUAGAUGAGUAGCACUUGGAACUGCUUUUGUGCAUUUAUAUACAACUGAUGGAAAGAGUUGAUGAACUUAAAUUAUGCAUGCAGUUGCUCUGUCUAGCUACUCUUUCUUUACCUUAUAGGUUUUUGACUUGGUGCAAUUAAAUGAUCGAGAUAAGAUGGUUUUUUGGUUCUCUCGAUCAUAAUGUAACUGUUGGCUAGGUUUAGAGUUGGAACUAUGGAUUGUAUUUUGGAUGAUGUUGAUGCAAUUAAU